AUGAACGCUAGCGACAGGCCUAACACAUGCAAGUCGAGGGGCAGCGGAGAGGUAGCAAUACCUUUGCCGGCGACCGGCGCACGGGUGAGUAACACGUAUGCAAUCCACCUGUAACAGGGGGAUAACCCGGAGAAAUCCGGACUAAUACCCCAUAAUAUGGGCUCUCCGCAUGGAGGGUUCAUUAAAGAGAGCAAUUUUGGUUACAGACGAGCAUGCGCUCCAUUAGCCAGUUGGCGGGGUAACGGCCCACCAAAGCGACGAUGGAUAGGGGUUCUGAGAGGAAGGUCCCCCACAUUGGAACUGAGACACGGUCCAAACUCCUACGGGAGGCAGCAGUGAGGAAUAUUGGUCAAUGGUCGGCAGACUGAACCAGCCAAGUCGCGUGAGGGAAGACGGCCCUACGGGUUGUAAACCUCUUUUGUCGGAGAGUAAAGUACGCUACGUGUAGCGUAUUGCAAGUAUCCGAAGAAAAAGCAUCGGCUAACUCCGUGCCAGCAGCCGCGGUAAUACGGAGGAUGCGAGCGUUAUCCGGAUUUAUUGGGUUUAAAGGGUGCGUAGGCGGCACGCCAAGUCAGCGGUGAAAUUUUCGGGCUCAACCCGGACUGUGCCGUUGAAACUGGCGAGCUAGAGUGCACAAGAGGCAGGCGGAAUGCGUGGUGUAGCGGUGAAAUGCAUAGAUAUCACGCAGAACCCCGAUUGCGAAGGCAGCCUGCUAGGGUGCGACAGACGCUGAGGCACGAAAGCGUGGGUAUCGAACAGGAUUAGAUACCCUGGUAGUCCACGCAGUAAACGAUGAAUACUAACUGUUUGCGAUACAAUGUAAGCGGUACAGCGAAAGCGUUAAGUAUUCCACCUGGGGAGUACGCCGGCAACGGUGAAACUCAAAGGAAUUGACGGGGGCCCGCACAAGCGGUGGAGCAUGUGGUUUAAUUCGAAGCAACGCGAAGAACCUUACCUGGUCUUGACAUCCUUCUGACCGGUCCUUAACCGGACCUUUCCUUCGGGACAGGAGAGACAGGUGGUGCAUGGUUGUCGUCAGCUCGUGUCGUGAGAUGUUGGGUUAAGUCCCGCAACGAGCGCAACCCUUAUCCUUAGUAGCCAGCAGUCCGGCUGGGCACUCUAGGGAGACUGCCAGGGAUAACCUGGAGGAAGGUGGGGAUGACGUCAAAUCAGCACGGCCCUUACGUCCGGGGCGACACACGUGUUACAAUGGCAGGUACAGAAGGCAGCCAGUCAGCAAUGACGCGCGAAUCCCGAAAACCUGUCUCAGUUCGGAUUGGAGUCUGCAACCCGACUCCAUGAAGCUGGAUUCGCUAGUAAUCGCGCAUCAGCCAUGGCGCGGUGAAUACGUUCCCGGGCCUUGUACACACCACCCGUCAAGCCAUGGAAGCCGGGAGUACCUGAAGCAUGCAACCGCAAGGAGCGUACGAAGGUAAUACCGGUAACUGGGGCU
rnacentral:rRNA from 1 species